AUUGAACGCUGGCGGAAUGCUUUACACAUGCAAGUCGAACGGCAGCACGGACUUCGGUCUGGUGGCGAGUGGCGAACGGGUGAGUAAUGUAUCGGAACGUGCCCAGUCGUGGGGGAUAACGUAGUGAAAAUUACGCUAAUACCGCAUACGAUCUAUGGAUGAAAGCGGGGGAUCGCAAGACCUCGCGCGAUUGGAGCGGCCGAUAUCAGAUUAGGUAGUUGGUGGGGUAAAGGCCCACCAAGCCAACGAUCUGUAGCUGGUCUGAGAGGACGAACAGCCACACUGGAACUGAGACACGGUCCAGACUCCUACAGGAGGCAGUAGUGGGGAAUUUUGGACAAUAGGCGAAAGCCUGAUCCAGCCAUUCCGCGUGCAGGAUGAAGGCCCUCAGGUUGUAAACUGCUUUUGUACAGAACGAAAAGGUUUCUACUAAUACUAGGAGCUCAUGACGGUACUGUAAGAAUAAGCACCGGCUAACUACGUGCCAGCCGCCGCAGUAA
rnacentral:rRNA from 1 species